AUGGCCGACUUCCAGCUGAUGUUGCUCGUCUACGCCGGCGAGGUUGUCCUCACGACCCUCGUUACCAUCCCCAACUGGCCAUUCUUCAACCGGCACCCGCUCAAGUGGAUGGACGCCGCCGAGGCUGAUCGCCACCUCCGCCCAUAGAUCAGCACCACACCAGCGACUACCGGGGGUAAGAAAAAGACCGGGAAGAACAAGUAG
rnacentral:rRNA from 1 species